rnacentral:rRNA from 1 species
GACGAACGCUGGCGGCGUGCCUAAUACAUGCAAGUAGAACGCUGAAGCGAGGAGCUUGCUCUUCUUGGAUGAGUUGCGAACGGGUGAGUAACGCGUAGGUAACCUGCCUUGUAGCGGGGGAUAACUAUUGGAAACGAUAGCUAAUACCGCAUAACAAUGGAUGACACAUGUCAUUUAUUUGAAAGGGGCAAUUGCUCCACUACAAGAUGGACCUGCGUUGUAUUAGCUAGUAGGUGAGGUAAUGGCUCACCUAGGCGACGAUACAUAGCCGACCUGAGAGGGUGAUCGGCCACACUGGGACUGAGACACGGCCCAGACUCCUACGGGAGGCAGCAGUAGGGAAUAUUCGGCAAUGGGGGCAACCCUGACCGAGCAACGCCGCGUGAGUGAAGAAGGUUUUCGGAUCGUAAAGCUCUGUUGUAAGUCAAGAACGGGUGUGAGAGUGGAAAGUUCACACUGUGACGGUAGCUUACCAGAAAGGGACGGCUAACUACGUG